UCUCUCAUCAACCACGUUCCCUCAAUUCUUCUCUCCACAAAAAACCCUAGCCGCCCCAAAUUGAUGUCGAGAAGAAACUUCCGCCAUCGUCUCUCGCCGUAAAAACGUGGUAGAAUCAUCGGUCAUCUCGCCGCAAAAAUCAACGUCGGUCGCCAAUUCACAGGCCUAAAGGACCGAUUUUUAGUUUCACGCGCGCGAUUGAGUUUCUGAAGUUCCGAUUUUGGUUUCUGAAGAUUCGAUUUUGGGUAAUAAACACUUAACAUCAAUGAUGAAGAGAGGCAAACCCUUCAAGAGUCAACCAACACAGACUGAAGCAAGUAAGCAGCGUCGCGUUGAUUUUGAUGAAGCAGUAGAUGAUGUAAUUCUAAUUGUAUUAGCCCAGAAGCUUCAGCAUAGAUUAUCGGAGGACAAAGCAGAGACCAGUACAUCCCGUAAAGAGUGGAUAGGAUGUAUGGGGUGGAGAAGUAUGGGGAGUGAUCGUAUGGAUACUUUAUGGAUAUGAUGUUUUUUUGGGAUUGGAACACUGUUUUUUUUUUCUUUUUUUUUUGUUUUGAUAGCUUAAUGUUGGAAGUGAUAAUAUCAGACUUGUUGGUUAGCUAGUUGUGAACAAUUUCAAGUUUUAUGAACUUGUGCAAAUUAAGCUUCAA